rnacentral:rRNA from 1 species
UACGGAGGGGGCUAGCGUUGUUCGGAAUUACUGGGCGUAAAGCGUGCGCAGGCGGUUUUGUAAGUCUGUCGUGAAAUCCCCGGGCUCAACCUGGGAAUGGCGAUGGAGACUGCAAGGCUAGAAUCUGGCAGAGGGGGGUAGAAUUCCACGUGUAGCAGUGAAAUGCGUAGAGAUGUGGAGGAACACCGAUGGCGAAGGCAGCCCCCUGGGUCAAGAUUGACGCUCAUGCACGAAAGCGUGGGGAGCAAACAGG